rnacentral:rRNA from 1 species
GACGAACGCUGGCGGCGUGCCUAAUACAUGCAAGUAGAACGCACAGUUUAUACCGUAGCUUGCUCCACCAUAAACUGUGAGUUGCGAACGGGUGAGUAACGCGUAGGUAACCUGCCUGGUAGCGGGGGAUAACUAUUGGAAACGAUAGCUAAUACCGCAUAAUAUUAAUUAUUGCAUGAUAAUUGAUUGAAAGAUGCAAUUGCAUCACUACCAGAUGGACCUGCGGUGUAUUAGCUAGUAGGUGAGGUAACGGCUCACCUAGGCGACGAUACAUAGCCGACCUGAGAGGGUGAUCGGCCACAAUGGGACUGAGACACGGCCCAGACUCCUAAGGGAGGCAGCAGGAGGGAAUCUUCGGCAAUGGACGAAAGUCUGACCGAGCAACGCCGCGUGAGUGAAGAAGGGUGUCGGAUCGGAAAGCUCUGUUGUAAGAGAAGAACGGGUGUGAGAGUGGAAAGUUCACACUGUGACGGUAUCUUACCAGAAAGGGACGGCUAACUACGUG